UGCCGCGUGNGUGAAGAAGNUNUUCGGAUUGUAAAGCACUUUAAGUUGGGAGGAAGGGCAUUAACCUAAUACGUUAGUGUUUUGACGUUACCGACAGAAUAAGCACCGGCUAACUCUGUGCCAGCAGCCGCGGUAAUACAGAGGGUGCAAGCGUUAAUCGGAAUUACUGGGCGUAAAGCG
rnacentral:rRNA from 1 species